GACAGAGGUGCCGAGCGUUAGGCGGAAUCACUGGGCUUAAAGCGUGUGUAGGCGGACUUCUAAGUACCUUGUGAAAUCCCAUGGCUCAACCAUGGAACUGCUUGGUAUACUGGUUGUCUUGAGCCACUUAGGGGCAGUCGGAACAGAUGGUGGAGCGGUGAAAUGCGUAGAUAUCGUCUGGAACGCCGAAGGUGAAAACAGCUCGCUGGGGUUGUGCUGACGCUGAGACACGAAAGCCAGGGGAGCGAACGGG
rnacentral:rRNA from 1 species